rnacentral:rRNA from 2 species
UACGUAGGGUGCGAGCGUUAAUCGGAAUUACUGGGCGUAAAGCGUGCGCAGGCGGGCUUUUAAGCCAGACGUGAAAUCCCCGGGCUUAACCUGGGAAUGGCGUUUGGGACUGGAAGUCUGGAGUGCGGCAGAGGAGACUGGAAUUCCUGGUGUAGCAGUGAAAUGCGUAGAUAUCAGGAGGAACACCGAUGGCGAAGGCAGGUCUCUGGGCUGACACUGACGCUCAUGCACGAAAGCGUGGGGAGCAAACAGG